rnacentral:rRNA from 1 species
AGGUGGCGGAACGGGUGAGUAAUACAUAAGCAACCUACCCACGAAGACUGGGAUAAUCUCUGGAAACGGGGACUAAUACCGGAUAGGUAAUCGGAAGGCAUCUUCUGGUUAUUAAAGGUUAAAAACACUGGUGGAUGGGCUUAUGGCGCAUUAGUUAGUUGGUGAGGUAACGGCCCACCAAGACGAUGAUGCGUAGCCGGCCUGAGAGGGUGAACGGCCACAUUGGGACUGAGACACGGCCCAGACUCCUACGGGAGGCAGCAGGA